GGGUUGUGAGGUUAAGCGACCAAGCGUACACGGUGGAUGCCCUGGCAGUCAGAGGCGAUGAAGGACGUGCUAAUCUGCGAAAAGCGCCGGUAAGGUGAUAUGAACCGUUAUAACCGGCGAUGUCCGAAUGGGGAAACCCAGUGUGACUCGUCACACUAUCAUUAACUGAAUCCAUAGGUUAAUGAGGCGAACCGGGGGAACUGAAACAUCUAAGUACCCCGAGGAAAAGAAAUCAACCGAGAUUCCCCCAGUAGCGGCGAGCGAACGGGGAGGAGCCCAGAGCCUGAAUCAGCAUGUGUGUUAGUGGAAGCGUCUGGAAAGGCGCGCGAUACAGGGUGACAGCCCCGUACACAAAAGCGCAUGUGCUGUGAGCUCGAUGAGUAGGGCGGGACACGUGGUAUCCUGUCUGAAUAUGGGGGGACCAUCCUCCAAGGCUAAAUACUCCUGACUGACCGAUAGUGAACCAGUACCGUGAGGGAAAGGCGAAAAGAACCCCGGCGAGGGGAGUGAAACAGAACCUGAAACCGUGUACGUACAAGCAGUGGGAGCAUGAGUUUACUCAUGUGACUGCGUACCUUUUGUAUAAUGGGUCAGCGACUUAUAUUCUGUAGCAAGGUUAACCGAAUAGGGGAGCCGGAGGGAAACC
rnacentral:rRNA from 1 species